rnacentral:rRNA from 1 species
AUGGACAGAAAUUCAGUAAUGUUCAGUUUGCUGCAGCGAAUGGCAAGGGUUUGUGUUACAACUAAGACUGCUGGUGACCUGAAUGCACUACAAACAGCAAGAAAUAAGGAAACAUUUCAGGACAAGUGGAAUAAUUCCACGAAGAAAUAUCAAGGGACUAUGAUCCAUGUUUUACUGCUAAAUAAAUAUAUUCCAUGUAUUGGCAGUAGUAGUUGGAGAUUCAAAAAGAUGCGAUUACUAUGGUUGUGUUAUUUGGCAACAUGGACUACGAUUGUACUAAAGGCUGUUGUCUUUACCAUUUCACUUUGUCUGUAG